CCCAUCAUAUAUAUAUACAUAUAUAUAUAUAUCUUGAAGGGUAGCCAGGCUAAUUAUUGGCUCACGGAGAUGUUUAAUAAUACUGUUUUUUUUUCUUCUUCCCUCUCUUUUUUUCCUGAGUGCUCUAAACUCAUCUCCUAUCCUUUUACUAUAGUGUAGAAAGCUGGAAGACUAAUAAUUGUUGCAUGAUAGAUGAGAAUACAUGGCAUAUUAAUGUUUACAAUUGCUAAUAUUGCAAUUAUGUUAUAUCAGUUGUUGGCAUCAGUUGAAUAAAAAAAAGCAAAAAAAAACCCAAACCAACCUUUAUGUAUAUACAUAUAUAUAUAUAUAUAUAAAUGUAAAUGAUUUAAUGUGUUUCUCACUUUAGCCAUUUGAUUUUUGGCUGUCCUGAUUAAAGACGUUUUUUAAAUUAG